UAAACCGACACAGGUAGGUGAGGAGAGAAUCCUAAGGCCGACGGGAGAAGCAUUGUUAAGGAACUCGGCAAAAUGACUCCGUAACUUCGGGAGAAGGAGUGCCAGUGAGAGCUGGCCGCAGAGAAUUGGCCCAAGCAACUGUUUAGCAAAAACACAGGUCUAUGCAAAACCGUAAGGUGAAGUAUAUGGGCUGACGCCUGCCCGGUGCUGGAAGGUUAAGGGGAGAGGUUAGCGCAAGCGAAGCUUUGAACUUAAGCCCCAGUAAACGGCGGCCGUAACUAUAACGGUCCUAAGGUAGCGAAAUUCCUUGUCGGGUAAGUUCCGACCCGCACGAAAGGCGUAAUGAUUUGGGCACUGUCUCAACAAUGCACCCGGUGAAAUUGAAAUACCAGUGAAGAUGCUGGUUACCUGCGCCAGGACGGAAAGACCCCAUGGAGCUUUACUCCAGCUUGAUACUGGGAUUCGAUAUUGUAUGUACAGGAUAGGUGGGAGGCGAAGAAGCAUUGACGCCAGUUGAUGCGGAGCCGCUGUUGGGAUACCACCCUUGCAGUAUUGGAUUUCUAACCAGCAGCCGUGACCCGGCUGGGGGACAAUGUCAGGUGGGGAGUUUGACUGGGGCGGUCGCCUCCGAAAGGGUAUCGGAGGCGCUCAAAGGUUCCCUCAGAAUGGUUGGAAACCAUUCGAAGAGUGCAAAGGCAGAAGGGAGCUUGACUGCGACACCGACGGGUGGAGCAGGUACGAAAGUAGGACUUAGUGAUCCGGUGGUAUAAAGUGGGAUUGCCAUCGCUCAACGGAUAAAAGCUACCCUGGGAUAACAGGCUUAUCACUCCCAAGAGUUCACAUCGACGGAGUGGUUUGGCACCUCGAUGUCGGCUCAUCGCAUCCUGGGGCUGAAGUAGGUCCCAAGGGUUGGGCUGUUCGCCCAUUAAAGCGGUACGCGAGCUGGGUUCAGAACGUCGUGAGACAGUUCGGUCCCUAUCCGGCGUGGGCGUAGGAUAUUUGAGAGGAGCUGGCCUUAGUACGAGAGGACCGGGCUGGACUGACCGCUGGUGUAUCUGUUGUUCCGCCAGGAGCAUGGCAGAGUAGCCAAGUCAGGAAGGGAUAAACGCUGAAGGCAUCUAAGCGUGAAGCCCCCCUCAAGAUGAGAUAUCCCAACGCAAGUUGUAAGACCCCUUGAAGACGACAAGGUAGAUAGGGCAGAGGUGGAAGUGCAGUAAUGCAUGGAGCUGACUGUUACUAAUCGGUCGAGGGCAUAAUC
rnacentral:rRNA from 1 species